GACGAACGCUGGCGGCGUGCUUAACACAUGCAAGUCGAACGGAAAGGCCCUGCUUUUGUGGGGUGCUCGAGUGGCGAACGGGUGAGUAACACGUGAGUAACCUGCCCUUGACUUUGGGAUAACUUCAGGAAACUGGGGCUAAUACCGGAUUGGAGCUCCUGCUGCAUGGUGGGGGUUGGAAAGUUUCGGCGGUUGGGGAUGGACUCGCGGCUUAUCAGCUUGUUGGUGGGGUAGUGGCUUACCAAGGCUUUGACGGGUAGCCGGCCUGGGAGGGUGACCGGCCACAUUGGGACUGAGAUACUGCCCAGACUCCUACGGGAGGCAGCAGUGGGGAAUAUUGCACAAUGGGCGGAAGCCUGAUGCAGCAACGCCGCGUGCGGGAUGACGGCCUUCGGGUUGUAAACCGCUUUCGCCUGUGAUGAAGCGUGAGUGACGGUAAUGGGUAAAGAAGCACCGGCUAACUACGUGCCAGCCGCCGCCGUAAAAC
rnacentral:rRNA from 1 species